UACAGAGGGGGCAAGCGUUGUUCGGAAUUACUGGGCGUAAAGGGCUCGUAGGCGGUUGGAUAAGUCAGCUGUGAAAACCACGGGCUUAACUCGUGGCCUGCAGUUGAGACUGUCUGGCUUGAGUGUGGGAGAGGAGAGUGGAAUUCCUGGUGUAGCGGUGAAAUGCGUAGAUAUCGGGAGGAACACCUGUGGCGAAAGCGGCUCUCUGGACCACAACUGACGCUGAGGCGCGAAAGCUAGGGGAGCAAACAGG
rnacentral:rRNA from 1 species